GUGUGAACAGGAUAUGCCAAGGUUUCAUUAUAUAGCUCAGUGCUUUGCAGGCUCUCUCUUUUGGAGGCUAGCUCCAGAUGACUCAAAGGUAUCAUCCUAUUUAAUGAAUUAGAAUAAAGCAACAACUCAGAAUCUGGUGAAAACUCCGAAAGUCCUUUGAAGUCUGCGACCCAGAUUGAAGGCACUGAUGUGCAGUGGAAGAGCUUGGGCUAACAGGUUAACUUCCAAGCUAAGAAGAGCUUUCACAGAGUGGGUGCCAGGGCAGCAAGCAGCAUGGCUUGUGGGACCCAAACAACAGGUUCUUUGCAGGAUGUCCAUGAACAUUGACGUCCUGACUAUGCCUUACCUGCUGUGCUUGUGAAUGGCCACAGUUACAAGAUUCUACUUGAUGUAACUUCUGUUUUGACAGCAUCUUUCCAAUCCGCUGUGCAACAGC